UACGUAGGCAGCGAGCGUUGUUCGGAAUUACUGGGCGUAAAGAGUGUGUAGGCGGUGCUCUAAGUUCGGUGUGAAAUCUCCUGGCUCAACUGGGAGGGUGCGCCGGAAACUGGAGUGCUUGAGCGUGGGAGAGGAAAGCGGAAUUCCUGGUGUAGCGGUGAAAUGCGUAGAUAUCAGGAGGAACACCUGUGGUGUAGACGGCUUUCUGGACCAUAGCUGACGCUGAGACACGAAAGCGUGGGGAGCGAACCGG
rnacentral:rRNA from 1 species